UGCGGAAGGAUCAUUACAGUAUUCUUUUUGCCAGCGCUUAAUUGCGCGGCGAAAAAACCUUACACACAGUGUUUUUUGUUAUUACAAGAACUUUUGCUUUGGUCUGGACUAGAAAUAGUUUGGGCCAGAGGUUUACUGAACUAAACUUCAAUAUUUAUAUUGAAUUGUUAUUUAUUUAAUUGUCAAUUUGUUGAUUAAAUUCAAAAAAUCUUCAAAACUUUCAACAACGGAUCUCUUGGUUCUCGCAUCGAUGAAGAACGCAGCGAAAUGCGAUAAGUAAUAUGAAUUGCAGAUUUUCGUGAAUCAUCGAAUCUUUGAACGCACAUUGCGCCCUCUGGUAUUCCAGAGGGCAUGCCUGUUUGAGCGUCAUUUCUCUCUCAAACCUUCGGGUUUGGUAUUGAGUGAUACUCUUAGUCGAACUAGGCGUUUGCUUGAAAUGUAUUGGCAUGAGUGGUACUGGAUAGUGCUAUAUGACUUUCAAUGUAUUAGGUUUAUCCAACUCGUUGAAUAGUUUAAUGGUAUAUUUCUCGGUAUUCUAGGCUCGGCCUUACAAUAUAACAAACAAGUUUGACCUCAAAUCAGGUAGGACUACCCGCUGAACUUAAGCAUA
rnacentral:rRNA from 1 species